rnacentral:rRNA from 1 species
UACGUAGGGUGCGAGCGUUGUCCGGAAUUAUUGGGCGUAAAGGGCUCGUAGGCGGUUUGUCGCGUCGGGAGUGAAAACCCAGGGCUUAACCCUGGGCUGGCUUCCGAUACGGGCAGACUAGAGGUAUGCAGGGGAGAACGGAAUUCCUGGUGUAGCGGUGAAAUGCGCAGAUAUCAGGAGGAACACCGGUGGCGAAGGCGACUUCCUGGACCAAUACUGACGCUCAGGUGCGAAAGUGUGGGGAGCAAACAGG